rnacentral:rRNA from 1 species
CCUACGGGGGGCUGCAGUAAGGAAUAUUGGUCAAUGGAGGAAACUCUGAACCAGCCAUCCCGCGUGAAGGAUGAAGGGGCUCUGCCUUGUAAACUUCUUUUGUCUGGGGCGAAAAAGCUCGAUUUAUCGAGAACUGACGGUACCAGAAGAAUAAGCACCGGCUAACUCCGUGCCAGCAGCCGCGGUAAUACGGAGGGUGCAAGCGAUAUCCGGAAUCAAUGGGUUUGAAGGGGGCGUAGGCGGCUUGGUAUGAAAGGCUGUGGCUUAACCAUGGAAUUGCCAUUGAUACUGCAGAGCUUGAAUGAGGAUGAGGUUGGCGGAAUGUGACAUGUAGCGGUGAAAUGCUUAGAUAUGUCAUGGAACACCGAUUGCGAAGGCAGCUGACUGGACCUAUAUUGACGCUGAGGCACGAAAGCGUGGGGAGCGAACAGGAUUAGAUACCCCAGUAUC